GACAGAGGUGCCAAGCGUUAGGCGGAAUCACUGGGCUUAAAGCGUGUGUAGGCGGAAUGGUAAGUACCUUGUGAAAUCCCACGGCUCAACCGUGGAACUGCUUGGCAUACUGGCGGUCUUGAGCAACCUAGGGGCGAGCGGAACAAAUGGUGGAGCGGUGAAAUGCGUAGAUAUCAUUUGGAACGCCAAUGGUGAAAACAGCUCGCUGGGGGUUUGCUGACGCUGAGACACGAAAGCCAGGGGAGCAAACGGG
rnacentral:rRNA from 1 species